GAUGAACGCUAGCUACAGGCUUAACACAUGCAAGUCGAGGGGUAGCAGGGUAGCAAUACCGCUGACGACCGGCGCACGGGUGAGUAACACGUAUCCAACCUUCCCAUAACUCGGGGAUAGCCUUUCGAAAGAAAGAUUAAUACCCGAUAGUACUUUUUCAAGGCAUCUUGAGAAAGUUAAAGAUUUAUUGGUUAUGGGUGGGGAUGCGUUCCAUUAGAUAGUUGGUGAGGUAACGGCUCACCAAGUCGUCGAUGUAUAGGGGUGCUGAGAGGAAGGUCCCCCACAUUGGGACUGAGACACGGACCAAACUCCUACGGGAGGCAGCAGGGAGGAAUAUUGGUCAAUGGGCGAGAGCCUGAACCAGCCAAGUAGCGUGAAGGAUGAAGGUCCUAUGGAUUGUAAGCUUCUUUUAUAGUAGAAUAAAGUGAUCCACGUGUGGAUUUUUGUAUGUAUACUAUGAAUAAGGAUCGGCUAACUCCGUGCCAGCCGCCGCAGUAAAAC
rnacentral:rRNA from 1 species